rnacentral:rRNA from 1 species
AUUGAACGCUGGCGGCAGGCCUAACACAUGCAAGUCGAGCGGAAACGACAACAUUGACCCUUCGGGUGAUUUGUUGGGCGUCGAGCGGCGGACGGGUGAGUAAUGCCUGGGAAAUUGCCCUGAUGUGGGGGAUAACCAUUGGAAACGAUGGCUAAUACCGCAUAACGUCUACGGACCAAAGAGGGGGACCUUCGGGCCUCUCGCUUCAGGAUAUGCCCAGGUGGGAUUAGCUAGUUGGUGAGGUAAUGGCUCACCAAGGCGACGAUCCCUAGCUGGUCUGAGAGGAUGAUCAGCCACACUGGAACUGAGACACGGUCCAG